rfam:Triticum aestivum genome assembly, contig: Triticum_aestivum_CS42_TGACv1_scaffold_002494_1AL
AGUAUACUCCCUCCGUCCAAAAAUUCUUGUCUUAUAUUUGUCUAAAUACGAAUGUAUCAAGUCACGUUUUAGUAUUAGAUACAUCCAUAUCUAGAUGAAUCUAAGACAAGAAUUUUGGAACGGAGGUAGUACAUC